CAACAAAACCCCUAAAAUCUCAACAUCCGUUUUAAAAUUUCCCAAAUCCAAUUCCCAGUAAACUUCCCAAUGGAGCAGUCUCCUGAGACCCCUCGGAGGAUUAUCUACGAAACCCUACCCCCUCUCUCUCUUUCCACCCCGGACCAAUCUCCGACGCCGCCCUCCGAUCACCUCGAACCCUACUCCGUUUUCCGCAACGAGAUCACUAUCUCCUCUCUCCGCUCCACUUCGCCGGACACCGCCGCACCCAACUUCAUCUCCCUUGACGUCGCCGCCGAUGAGGCCGAUCCCAAAUCGGCCUGGGAUUCUCCGGCACCCGAGCCAAAGACUCCGGCGCUGGAGCUGAAGCUCGAGAGCGGAUGGUUUCGCGGCCGUAGUAAAUUCAAAAGCCCUAUGCUUCAGCUCCAUAAAGAGAUUCUGGACUUUUGUCAGUUUCUUUCUCCAACUCCGCAAGAGGAAGAGGCACGGAGGACAGCAGUAGAACGUGUUUCAGAGGUUAUCAAAUAUAUAUGGCCACGAUGCGGGGUUGAAAUUUUUGGGUCAUUCAAGACGGGGCUGUAUCUUCCUGCGAGUGAUAUUGAUGUUGUCAUCAUGCGAUCUGGUAUUCCAACCCCACAACAAGGGUUGUAUGCACUUUCUAGGGCGUUGUCACAAAUGGGUUUGGCAAAAAGGAUACAGGUGAUUGCAAAGGCUCGUGUACCUAUUAUUAAGUUUGUAGAAAAAACAAGUGGCAUUGCCUUUGACAUAAGUUUUGAUAUGGACAGUGGACCAAAAGCUGCUGAAUUUAUCAAGGAUGCGAUAUCUAAGUGGCCUCCUUUGCGACCAUUGUGUUUGAUUUUGAAAAUAUUUUUACAACAGAGAGAAUUGAAUGAGGUAUACUCUGGUGGAUUAGGUUCUUAUGCUCUACUUGCAAUGCUAAUUGCAAUGCUGCAGAGCCUCAGGGAGAGCCAAGCUUCUCCAGAACAAAACUUGGGAGUUCUUUUGGUAAACUUCUUUGAUUUUUAUGGGCGCAAACUGAACACUUCAGAUGUUGGUGUGUCUUGCCAUGGGACAGGCACUUUUUUCUCAAAGAAUAGUAAAGGGUUCACAAAUAAAGGACGGCCAUUUCUUAUUGCCAUUGAGGACCCGCAGGCACCAGAGAAUGAUGUUGGGGAAGAACUCUUUUAACUAUUUCCAGAUUAGAUCAGCAUUUGCAAUGGCUUAUACUACCUUGACAAAUCCUAAGAACAUCAUGUCCCUCGGCCCGAAUAGGAGCAUCCUUGGUACCAUAAUUAGACCAGAUGCAAUAUUGGCUGAACGAAAAGGAGGGCCUGGUCAGGUGACUUUAGAUAGCUUGCUUCCAGGAGCAGGGGAGCUACUCAGGCCGGAGUCUGAGCAUCAGGAAUUUUUAUGCAAUUGGCAGUAUGAUGAAGAGGAACCCCUGCCACGGGGAGGUGACUAUGUUGGGGAUGUAAACGGGGAAUCAUCAUCUGGAAAGAAGAGGAAAUCUCCGUUUAAGGAUAAGUCUAAAUUUUCAGGAAAAAAGGAGAAAAAGAUCAAGAAGGCCGAAGAAAAAGAGGCAAGAAAAAAGAGAAGGCAUCCAUGAAGAAGGAACGGAGACACAAACGGAAACAAUCCCGAGAGAGUCUCAAUGGAUAUGGUGCUUACGUUGGAGGGUCUCCCUGGAGUCGCUAGAAUCGUUCUCAUGCCUGUAUGUCAUCUGCGUUGUUGUCUCUGGUUUUAUUCUCCACUGCAAGUGGGUUGUGACCACUGACCAGCAUCGUCCUUCAUGUACCAAAUUGGUGCAUAACAUGGAAGGGCAGCACAUUACUUGAUGUCGAGCAGUUCAGUGACUAAGCCGACAUUGUAGGAUAAACCCCUCCAUGCAGAAGUUUGAAAUUGUUCUGCAAGGUGGGACUAUUUCCGCCAGUUUUGCUGUGUGCAAUCCUGAAACCAAAAAUAGAUCCCUCAAGUGUAACAUGCAAUCCUUAGGAUUACGUUUUAAGUUAUAUUUUUUCUCGUCUCAGAGGCGGGACGAUGUACUCGACAUAGUUUAUUAAUUUAUCUACAAUUUUCACAGUU